ACGAAGUGCCUAUAAUUCUAAUGCCAUUUUCAAGGUCUACAGCUUGCAUUGUUAAUAGGUAUUAGAGAAGUGUAAUAUAUAAUAGUACAGACACGUAAGUAAUAGGGCAGGUAUUUUAGAAGCACAGAUGAGCCACAGGAAGAUUAAUGGAAUUUGACAAUGUGACAGCAAAGCUGCUGCACAAGUACAUCCAUCUGUAAGCUUUUUGCUAUGCAUUGCCACGAAGGAAACGAUCACUGAAGGAAAAUAACACGUUCAUGAGUGUAAUUUGGUAACCAUUUGUACAACAUGAUAACGUGCCUUCUUAAUUCAAAGACAUUUGACAGAGACAUCUUGACAUUUUCAUUAAGGAAGCUGUCAGGAUUAAUCUGGAAGAGGACAAGAAUCUUAUUGGAAAGUGCCUACUUAUCCUCAGUAAUCUAAUAAUCUGCACUAGUAGGGUCAAGUCAUUUUUUAUGAUACAGCCUUUAAUCAUCUAUCAAUUACAACUUUUAAUUACAGCUGAGCUGCUGAAAUAUAUAGAGAUCUUCCCAUGAUGAAAUGAAUGUUUAUAGCCAUCUGAAUAGUGCUCUGCCAGAGAGACAGCGAUUCCCCUCCUCCAUCACUGCUCCUAUACAGACAUGGCUGUGAAAUGACGCUGAGCUCCUGACACAUAAUGCUAAAUAUCUGGUUAUGUCAUUACACAUAUGCAUGAGAAACUGAAUGAAGAUGAUGGGAAAAGUUUUAAUUGUGGUGUUUUCCAAUUUAUAACCACUCAACUUCGCCCAUUAACAUUUCUAGGUAGCUAGCUAUAUUUACAGCUGUAAAUACAUAUAGACAGAAAUAGAUAGCAUUUGUCUACAUGAAUGUGAACAUCCAUAUGGACAAGGAAAUCUUUCCAUGUCAAUGACUGGUACUAAGAGGCUCUGCUGCAAGGAGAAAGGAACACCUCAUCCAGGAGCCACAAAGGUCUGCUGAGGGCAGGGCAUUGAGCUUUACCUCCCUCAGCAGCACAGUUCAGAUCACAGAGUUCAUCACUGGUAUUGUGUGGGGUAGAUAAAUAAAGGUACACAGCAUUAAUACCCCAAAAGUCAAACUAUCAUAGCUCACUCACUACCCUGAGAAGCAGAAAUUCUCCCUUGGUUUCAUAACACAUAAUUUGCUGUGUUCCCUAAAGGCUCCUGUGUCUUGUUGCUCCUUGGUGGCCCUAUUUUUCUAUUGAUUCUGUGGCAUUUGAGGACUUCGGUGUCAAGAGCACAGCAAUAGCUUUACUGAUUCUACAGGCUUGUACUGCAAGAGGCCAGCUGCUCAUAAAGAGAACAGUGAAACAAAUCCCUGUGUACUUUACAUCAAGAGAAAACUUCAUUUUCCCCUUUCUCUAUGUAUAGGACACUUCAGUCUAAAACAAAGAUGCAUAGAAUGACCCUACAAAUAAGAUCAGAGUAAUUUAGAGGAUGAAAUUAAUCUGCCAAGCCCUGUGUGGUUGGUUGGUUUUUUUUUUCAGUCAUUUGACAUCACUGUAGUCUCUUUUCAUCCUCAAUUCUUGCUCCUCUUCGUUAUUUGCUACGAAGAGUUUUAUUUAGAGGAAGAGAUAGAUAGAGGAGUUUAUGCCUCCAUCAUUUAAUGGCGGAUUUUCAUCCUGGAGCAAAAAGGACAAGAAGGAUUCUGAUGGCAGAGCAAAGCGAGUUAAAGAUCAGAAAAUUUCCUGGAUUUGGCUGGGAGUUUAUGAACUAAUCUGCAUACUUCUGGUUUUAAUGCCAGUGACUUCUUUCCUGCUCUGCUGCCAUGGGUUUUUGUAAUUUUUGUUUUCAAAUUUGAUUAGCUGUGUGUUCGUUUUCACACUUUUGGAGACAGCAUCCCUGUGAGAUCUAAUUUAAGGAGUAUAUAUCCUCUUUGGAAAAUAAGAGAUUAUU
rnacentral:lncRNA from 1 species